AUUGAACGCUGGCGGCAUGCUUUACGCAUGCAAGUCGAACGGCAGCGGGGAGGAGCUUGCUUCUCUGCCGGCGAGAGGCGAACGGGGGAGUAAUACACCGGAAAGUGUCGAGAAGAGGGGGAUAACAACCAGAAAGGGUGGCUAAUACAGCAUAAAUUCUGAGGAAGAAAGAUGGGGAGCUAGGAAUAGGAUUAGCGCUUUUUGAGCGGCCGAUGUCGGAUUAGCUAGUUGGUGGGGUAAAGGCUCACCAAGGCGAAGAUCUGUAGCUGGUCUGAGAGGAUGAUCCGCCACACUGGGACUGAGACACGGCCCAGACUCCUACGGGAGGCAGCAGUGGGGAAUUUUGGACAAUGGGGGCAACCCUGAUCCAGCCAUGCCGCGUGUAUGAAGAAGGCCUUAGGGUUGUAAAGUACUUUUGUUAGGGAAGAAAAGUCGGCUGUUAAUAAUCGCUUGUACUGACGGUACCUAAAGAAUAAGCACCGGCUAACUACGUG
rnacentral:rRNA from 1 species